GACGAACGCUGGCGGCGUGCUUAACACAUGCAAGUCGAACGGAAAGGCCCUGCUUUUGUGGGGUGCUCGAGUGGCGAACGGGUGAGUAACACGUGAGUAACCUGCCCUUGACUUUGGGAUAACUUCAGGAAACUGGGGCUAAUACCGGAUAGGAGCUCCUGCUGCAUGGUGGGGGUUGGAAAGUUUCGGCGGUUGGGGAUGGACUCGCGGCUUAUCAGCUUGUUGGUGGGGUAGUGGCUUACCAAGGCUUUGACGGGUAGCCGGCCUGAGAGGGUGACCGGCCACAUUGGGACUGAGAUACGGCCCAGACUCCUACGGGAGGCAUCAGUGGGGAAUAUUGCACAAUGGGCGGAAGCCUGAUGCAGCAACGCCGCGUGCGGGAUGACGGCCUUCGGGUUGUAAACCGCUUUCGCCUGUGACGAAGCGUGAGUGACGGUAAUGGGUAAAGAAGCACCGGCUAACUAUGUG
rnacentral:rRNA from 1 species